AUUAUUUGGAAUGGAAACUUUUAAGGAGAUUCAAAAGAAGAGGGCUUGAAAAUAUCUUACAUUAUUUUCACAAAGAUGAGGAUUUCAAACAACAAGAAGCCAGAGAAAAAAAGACAGAUGAUCAUGAACACGUUGUUCAUCAACUAGCUCAAAUUCUGAUGUUAAACUGUUAUGAGUAUCCAGAGAAAGAGGAAAUGAAGAAGAUCUCAUAACAUUUCAGGAAGAAGAGAGUUAAACACAGAGUUGUCAUUCCUGCAUUUUCAUUUCUGUGUUCAUGGUUAUUUGGAUAAUUGGAAAGUAUGCUUUCUCAAAUGAGUUAGACUUCCUGGAACAAUUAUAUCAGGGUCUUGAUCACUGCAUCUGUAAAAAUGAGAGACCAGAACUGUAAACAAGUGUAUCUUCUCCCAUAUUCUGCUCAUGCUCUGCUUUCGAAGAGAGGCUGUUUGAAUUAUUCUACCCUGAGAGAAGUAUGUUUAAAAUAUCUUCUUUCACUUUUGAUUAUGCUUAGUGACUUAAUUGCUACAGUGAGUAUUUUUGAGCAGUGUAGAAUAAGAUUCAGAAGAAAGAAGAAACAUGAUAAAAGUGGUAAACCUGGGGAAUAUUAGCAUUUUGGAGAAAUUUGUUUUUUUUAGCAUGAUGCCAGAAAACAUUCUAAUAUUCUGGACAACUAUUAUAACUCUCCUAGAGAACAUGAAGAAAAAAAUCAUAAUGAAAUCUGGAACUUAUUUUAGUUUUAGAAUUUUGUCAAACUUGCAAACACAAUAGCACAUGUCACACUGAAAUUCUCUUUCAGAUCUGACCAAAUAAACUCAUUAAGAAAUGUGGGUGGAAUGAAAAG
rnacentral:lncRNA from 1 species